CUUUCCCUCCACCCACUUUCUCCGUCUUCUUCCUCAAACGAUGAACCUCCGUUUCUUCUUCUACGCCCUUUCGGUCUGCCUUCUUCUUCUUCGCGAUGUCCCUCCGCUUCUUUUUCUACCCAUUGUCCUCUGCCUUCUUCCACAACGACUCCAUUUCAUUUUUCUUCUCAAAUUUCUCAAAUCUUUUUAGCAUUUUGGUCAAAACAGGUUGAACUUUAGUGGAGUCUCGAGUUGGGAACAAGUUUCGUGUCGGUCAAAAAAUUGGUACCGGAUCUUUUGGAGAGAUCUAUCUCGGUAACAAUAUUCAGACAAAUGAAAAUGUUGUGAUUAAGUUUGGAGUAUUCUGAUCAAUCUUUUAUUGAUUCUGUUACGGUGUUGUGAAGAUUGUUGGUUGGAUUUAGAUCUAAUUGAUUAUUGAAUACCUGUGAACUAUCAACAAUGAGUGGAAUAUAUUCAAAAUGUAUGUUGAUGAUAAUAUAUAUAUAACAUUGAUGUGACACUGAAUGUGCAAAAACUAAUAGAUGUAUUGGGUAUAUAUUUUGUGCAAUAUGUUGGCUCCUAAUGUUCUUAUGUCUGGUACCUUUUUUUGUUACAGUCAUUAUUAAUAUGUCUAAUUUUAUGGUGCCCCUUACCUUCUUGCAGUCCUUUGUUACACAUAGAAUACUUCUAUGCAGUUCAGGUUUGGGCUCCAUUCCCAUUGUUAAUAACCAAUAUUUUUUAUCCAUCAGCCACGACUUUAGCAUAUUCUUGCUUUUCAGAUGAUCAACCUGUUACAAGCAAUUGUGAAAACUCCUCAUUGUAUGUGUUGGAAUGGUUAUUACCAAGAAUUGGACUUCUAGACAAGAUUAGAGUGAAGGAUUUAGCAGGUGUGGCUUACCGGAACUUUAUGUUGGAAAGCCAGAAUGCUUAACUGCCAUCGUUCGAGUCAUGUGUGAAGCUGCCAAAAAGUCAAUGAAAAAGAAGAAACUCCACAUUGGUCCAUGGAGGAAGAGUGGAUUCAUGCAACUGAAGUGGUCAGGUUUCAAUCAAACAUUGACUUUAGUAAAAUCCAUGGGUGAUAUUCCAGCUAAUGAACCUUAUCUGAGAAUUUUCGUGCCCCUACUGUGCUAGUCACAUGAAAGUAAUUUAGGUGAAGGUUAAAUCUCAAUGGUGGCUUUUUGCAGAAGAAUUUUGAAUUGAGACCUUGUAGUAGAAACUCAUAAUUUAAUGUACCAAGUUAUGUAACAGAAACUCUGUUUUGUGUUGUAAAUGGUUUAGUCUAAUUUGACCAAAGUCAAUUUACGUGUAUGAGGCAUAAGCUUUGCAAUAUUAUCAUGAGUGCCAACAGAUACCAGAAAAAAAAUUAAAGCAAAGAAGCUUUUGCAAAAGGGGUUUCAACAUGUUUUACUUGAUACAUGUGUCAAUGAAUCAUUCAAAUUUUUAAAACUU